rnacentral:rRNA from 1 species
GCAUCUGUGCAUGCAGCAUAUCAAUAAGCGGAGGAAAAGAAACUAACAAGGAUUCCCCUAGUAACGGCGAGUGAAGCGGGAAGAGCUCAAAUUUGAAAUCUUAAAGGGUUUCCCUUUACGAAUUGUAGUUUAAAGAAGUGUUUUCUGUUGAGGUUUUGGUAAAAGUUCUUUGGAAUAGGACAUCAUAGAGGGUGAGAAUCCCGUAUUUGACCUUUACUUUCAACUUUGUGAUACACUUUCAAAGAGUCGGAUUGUUUGGGAAUGCAGUCCAAAAUGGGUGGUAAAUUUCAUCUAAAGCUAAAUAUUGGCGAGAGACCGAUAGCGAACAAGUACCGUGAGGGAAAGAUGAAAAGAACUUUGAAAAGAGAGUUAAACAGUACGUGAAAUUGUCAAAAGGGAAGCGUUUGACACCAGUGUUGUUUUUCUGAAAAUCAAUUAAAGAACUGUUUAUGCUAAGCUGUUUAGACUUUAUCAGCUAAUCUGUUUAGUUUUGAGCUUUUCUUUAAUGCACUUUUCAGUUAACAAGUCAACAUCAAUUUCUUUUGCUGUAAAAAAGCUUGAGGAAGGUGGCUUGAGAUUCGUCUUAAGUGUUUAUAGCCUCUUGCCUAUGCAGUCGGAGAGAUUGAGGUCUGCAGGCGUAGAUCCUUCGGGGCUAAAUGCAUUUGUGCUAAGUUAUAACAUUUUAUAGACAACUUGUUGACUAUGAUUUGUCUUGUAGCUUACUCGCUUAUGUUAUUUUACCUACGCUUAGGAUGUUGACAGCAGUAUAGACUGU